CAACUUGUUUACAAGGCACGUUCGCGAGAUACAGGUUACAUGCAACGUCUUGCAACUUUUGUUGCGAUAUUAUUUGGCCAAUGGAUUGGAGCAUGGACAAUCGCCUUCGGGAAAACCGAGAAAGAACGGUCUUGGUGAAUUUUGCUCCAAAUAGUUGCCCGAGGAUCAACUCUUGGCUACCAGAAGUGGCGUCCGUCUUGUCCAUGUUCCAGCUACCUUCAUGCGCCGCGGGAGAGAAAGAAUUUGAAGCGUAAAUAAACCCGGAUGCAUACUACGGCGGAAAAUUCAUUCGAUAAUCACCUGCGAUUCGACGUGUUCGCAUAUGACUGGUUUUGCUACGAUAUCAACCAAAGGGACACCUACAAACCUGGUGGAGAGCAAACGGGUUUCGAUGGGAUGCGAGAAUUUGUCACUUAUUUUGAAAUCGCUUCUUGCGCCCACACAUUAUUUUUCAACCCAGUACAACUAAUGCGCACAGGGAAGGACACAAAAAAAACUUCUCGAUUAUUAAACCACGAAUGCAUUCAUUUAGUUAACUUAUGAUUAGCAUUGUAUAUAUUUAGGGACCUUUGACAAUUAAUGUGAUGAGUGCUUGUGAAAUAACAUGCAGUGUAAACACUUUAUAACGAUACUUACUAAGAACAAAUUUUACUCAUCUAGUAAUUUGCUACAAAACCAGCCUUCUUGUACGUAUUUCUACCUCAUUAUUAAAAAAAAGUUAUCAAGAGUUUACAUUGUAUUGCACAUUUAAUCGCUUCCCGAUUAUUGCUGAAAACUGGCGGAGUUGUCUCUGUAUUUCUUGGCAGUAAUGCGGAUAAGGGUAUUUGCUAGUUGGCACACUGUUGUCUAGCUUUAACUCGCGUAGGGGACGUUUCUAGAGAAAUUGUCCAUUGGGUUUGUUGCCGAAGUUGCGUGUGUAACAUGUGUAAAUUUGGUUGUGCAGUGGAAUUUUUACUUGAAGGGUGAAAUUGUUUUUCAUUGUUAUCCAUGUUUCAAUCAUUAUUUCUAACUGUCGCUCUCGAAGGGGUAUUGUCGAAAGAAACGCAAUUCCAAUUGUAACGCAUUCGAAUAGUCCGUCGAUAAUGUUAUAAUAAUAUAAUUUUAUAAUUUGUGAUAAGAUUAUAAUUUGUAUGAUUAGCACACGGGAAACCGGCAAGAAUGACAUUUUUUGUGUUUCAAUGUGCUAAUUUUUUAUUGUAUUCGGAGUCUAGCAGGCGCCCGAAUUGUUAUAAGAUUACGAUUAUUUUAUCAGAUUUUAAGUAUUAAAUUUGUUUAUCUUUUUCAUA